AUUAUUGGAAGUAAAGCGGCGUGUAGGGCGGUUUCCUUAAGUCAGGAUGUUGACAGCUGGCGGCUCAACCGCGAGCGGUCAUUAGGAAACUGGGAGACUUGAGUGCAGAAGAGGAGAGGUGGAAUUCCACGUGUAGCGGUGAAAUGCGUAGAGAUGGGGAGGAACACCCGUGGUGAAGGCGACUUUCUGGUCUGUUAGUGACGCUGAGGCGCGAAAGCGUGGGUAGCGAACAGGAUCAGAUACCCUGGUAGUCCACGCCGUAAACGUUGAGUGCUAGGUGUUAGGGGGUUUCCGCCCCUUAGUGCUGAAGUUAACGCAUUAAGCACUCCGCCUGGGGAGUACGGCCGCAAGGUUGAAACUCAAAAGAAUUGACGGGGGCCCGCACAAGCGGUGGAGCAUGUGGUUUAAUUUGAAGCAACGCGAAGAACCUUACCAGGUCUUGACAUCCUCUGACAGCGGCAGAGAUGCCGUGUUCCCUUCGGGGACAGAGUGACAGGUGGUGCAUGGUUGUCGUCAGCUCGUGUCGUGAGAUGUUGGGUUAAGUCCCGUAACGAGCGCAACCCUUAAUCUUAGUUGCCAGCAUUAAGUUGGGCACUCUAAGGUGACUGCCGGUGACAAACCGGAGGAAGGCGGGGAUGACGUCAAAUCAUCAUGCCCCUUAUGACCUGGGCUACACACGUGCUACAAUGGAUGGAACAAAGGGACGCGAAGCGGCGACGUGAUAGCCAAUCCCACAAAACCAUUCCCAGUUCGGAUUGCAGGCUGCAACUCGCCUGUAUGAAGCCGGAAUCGCUAGUAAUCGCGGAUCAGAAUGCCGCGGUGAAUACGUUCCCGGGCCUUGUACACACCGCCCGUCACACCACGAGAGUUGGUACACGAAGUC
rnacentral:rRNA from 1 species